rnacentral:rRNA from 1 species
AGAGUUUGAUCCUGGCUCAGAAUCAACGCUGGCGGCGUGCCUAACACAUGCAAGUCGAACGCGAAAGCCCCGCAAGGGGUAAGUAGAGUGGCAAACGGGUGAGUAACACGUGGGUGACCUGCCUCAGAGUGGGGGAUAACGACCCGAAAGGGUCGCUAAUACCGCAUAACAUCCUGCCUUUGGAGAGGUGGAGAUCAAAGCCGGGGAUCGCAAGACCUGGCGCUUAGAGAGGGGCCCGCGGCCGAUUAGCUAGUUGGUGAGGUAACGGCUCACCAAGGCGACGAUCGGUAUCCGGCCUGAGAGGGCGGACGGACACACUGGGACUGAGACACGGCCCAGACUCCUACGGGAGGCAGCAGUGGGGAAUUGUUCGCAAUGGGCGCAAGCCUGACGACGCAACGCCGCGUGGAGGAUGAAGAAUUUCGGUUCGUAAACUCCUUUCGAUCGGGAAGAACGUUUCGGGGGUGAAUAGCCUCCGGAAGAGACGGUACCGAGAGAAGAAGCCCCGGC